CCUACGGGUGGCAGCAGUGAGGAAUAUUGCGCAAUGGGGGCAACUCUGAUGCAGCGACGCCGCGUGAGUGAGGAAGGUUUUCGGUUUGUAAAGCUCUAUCGGCUGUGAAGAAGAUGACAGUAGCUUAUUAAGAAGCCCCGGCUAACUACGUGCCAGCAGCCGCGGUAAUACGUAGGGGGCAAGCGUUGUCCGGAUUUACUGGGUGUAAAGGGAGCGUAGGCGGCUUAGUAAGUCAGAAGUGAAAACCCAGGGCUCAACCUUGGGACUGCUAUUGAAACUGUGUAGCUAGAGUGACGGAGAGGAAAGUGGAAUACCCAGUGUAGCGGUGAAAUGCGUAGAUAUUAGGAAGAACACCAGUGGCGAAGGCGACUAACUGGA
rnacentral:rRNA from 1 species